UGUGUAGGCGGUUCUUUAAGUUUGGUGUGAAAUCUCCCGGCUCAACUGGGAGGGAGCGCCGAAUACUGAGGGACUAGAGUACGGGAGAGGAAAGUGGAAUUCCUGGUGUAGCGGUGAAAUGCGUAGAUAUCAGGAGGAACACCGGUGGUGUAGACGGCUUUCUGGACCGACACUGACGCUGAGACACGAAAGCGUGGGUAGCAAACAGGAUUAGAUACCCUGGUAGUCCACGCCCUAAACGAUGCAUAUUUGGUGUGGGCAGUUCAUUCUGUCCGUGCCGGAGCUAACGCGUUAAAUAUGCCGCCUGGGGAGUACAGUCGCAAGGCUGAA
rnacentral:rRNA from 1 species